AAGACCUUCAACAUUUUGGUACGGGGCCGGAGGAAUCGCAAACAAACUCUAAGAAUGCCUAUAAGUUUGCUCAAGAGACCAUAUUCUUCUCAGCCCUUCAAAGCUGUAUAUAGCAGGGUAAUAAGGGAGACUGAGGUUCCCAGCUCUACCAGCUUUGAUCCACAUGAACAUGGCAUAACGACUGCUACUUGAGGCUGUUUCUAUGUCUUUUACGAGAUAAUACUAGCAGAAUGGUCUAUUGAAGCUGAGUAUACAUAUCUGUUGGUCGUAUAUCAUGACUGCUGGACUUUAUUGCUGUUUCUAUGUCUUUU
rnacentral:misc_RNA from 1 species